CUGUCCUUUAUUCUCUGUUCCAGAGAAUAAACUCAUUCCUUGCCUUUAAAACUCUGUCUCAAUUACACUUGCAUUCAUUCAUUAACUCAUUUCCUGUUCAGUAUAUUUUCUUAUCCCUAAAUCUGCCUAAGGGCAGAUAGAAUCCUGACGGCAUUCACCACUGAAUAAGCCCAUAGCACGUAAUAGGUGUUAAAUGGAUUAUUUACUGAUAAAUAAAGGAAAUUAGGCAGAGAAUAAAGGUAUACAAUACAAAAAUAAGCCACUGGGAACGGCUUAUCAUAAUAUGCAUUUACAACCACUAAAGUUGAUAAUAGAACCUUUCUUACAUCACUUCUGUUUCAAGUGGGAACAAAUGCACUUCUGAGCCAGAUAGAUCAUGUACGUAUAUGUAAAAAUGGGAAAACAAAUAACAGCAGGCAGGCAGAAACUUGAAGCUUAAAGCUAACUAGGUUGAUUGCCUGCUUAAGUAUAUCAGCAUAUUCUAAAAGAAAGUCAACAGAUGCCAACACCAAGAUGACAGAUGUUGCAGUUAUCUGACAAAGCCUUUAAAGCCAUAAUUAUGCAGAUGUUCCAACAAGCAACCACAAACACUCUUGAAACAAAUGGAAAAACAGAAAAUUACUGCAGAGAUAUGGAGGAUAUAAAGCAGAACCAAGUAAAAGUUAGAACUAAAAACUAUAAUAACUAAAAUUAAAAUAUUGCUGGAAGUUCUCAAUAUAGCAGACUGGAGAAGACAGAGGAAAGAAAAAAAUGAAUUUACAAUGGAGCAAUAGAUUUAUCUAAUCUGAAUAACAGAAAGAAAAAGAUUGAAAAAUAAAUGAACACACCAACAAGGACCAGAAGUUCCGACAUUCAUGAUGUCAUCAGCAUCCUAGCUGUGCACAGCUGAAAAAAUGUUGAAGAAAAAGGGCUACAUUCAUAAACCCAUGGAAUAAAAAAUUUCAUUGAGCACCAAAGAUAAUAAACCUAAAGAAAUCCACACCCAAACUCAUCAUAAUCAAACUGGUAAAAACUAAAGACAAAGGAAAAAAUACUUGAAAGCACCUAAAAAUAAAAACCCAAACCCACAACUUAUUACCUAUAUAAUACCUGAACAAUGAUUCAAUGAACAAUGACUCAACUGACUUCUCACCAGAAACCACAGAGGCCAGAAGGAAGUGGCACAGUAUUUUACAGUGCUAAAAGAAAAAUUCAACCCCAAAUUCCAUUUCCUGAAAAAAUAUUGAUUGGAAAUGGAGAUAAAGACAUUUUUAGAUGACAGAAAACUAAAAGAAGUUGUCACCAACAGACCUAUUCUAAAAGACUUGCUAAAGGGAAUUCUUCAGACCAAAGGGAGAUAAUGCCAGAAGAAACUCUGGAACAUCAGGAGUGAAGGAAAUGAUGAUCUCUUGAAGUCAGAGGGUUAAGCAAGGAGGCCAAGCCAAGCACGAGUCAGGCGGUUAUCAAGCGGCAGACAACGGGUAGAGCCCAGGUCUUCGAGUCCAUUGCUCUGAGCCUGUGCACCAGACAGCUCGGCUCCUCUCUGUUGACAGAAGACCCGCAUGGCAGGCUCAGCAAACAACACUUGGUCUCACAGUGAGCUGGACACACAAAACCCCUUCUCUUUCUGUUGAUGCCCUUUUCUAGGCCCCACGCUCUUGGCUUCGUAGGCGGAUUUGGCCUCUCCCACUAACCAGCCGUGUGGUUUGGGGCAAGUUGCUUCACCUCUGGGUCUCAGCUACUCCGUAGUUAAACCUUGCAAGUUUGACAUGAGGAAAGCACUUCACACGGAGCCUGGCCCAAACAAUAGAUGUUCCCUAUUGUAUUGUCUACAGGCAGUGCAAUACAAUACAGGGUCAGCUGUCUCAGGUCACAGCCAUGACCCCUUCACAGGAACCUCGCCGGACACGGGGACCAACAUUCUAGACGAUUAAAUCAGGGUGGCCUCCUUAGCUCUGUCUAUGCUCCCUCAGUCCCACAGCUCCUGCCAGGUGACUCCAGACCGGCGCCUCUGGGCUGAGUCUUCAGCCUGGACCGAGCCAGCCCCGGGGACCUUCUUGUCCUCACAGCGAUGACCCAAUGGCUUCCUUCAGAACUCGGACCUCUCUGCUCCAACUCGGUUCGCA